UUGGGGUUUCGGCCUCAAGGGAGUGGCGGACGGGUGAGUAGCGCGUGGGAACCUGCCCCUUUGUGGGGGAUAACCGAGGGAAACUUCGGCUAAUACCGCAUGCGCCCCGGAGCAAUCCGGGGGAAAGAUUUAUCGCAGAGGGAGGGGCCCGCGUCGGAUUAGGUAGUUGGUGGGGUAACGGCUUACCAAGCCUGUGAUCCGUAGCUGGUCUGAGAGGAUGAUCAGCCACACUGGGACUGAGACACGGCCCAGACUCCUACGGGAGGCAGCAGUGGGGAAUAUUGGACAAUGGGGGCAACCCUGAUCCAGCAAUGCCGCGUGAGUGAUGAAGGCCUUAGGG
rnacentral:rRNA from 1 species